rnacentral:rRNA from 1 species
GAGUACGACGGAGCACGUGAAAUUCCGUCGGAAUCUGGGAGGACCAUCUCCUAAGGCUAAAUACUCUCUAGUGACCGAUAGUGAACCAGUACCGUGAGGGAAAGGUGAAAAGCACCCCGGAAGGGGAGUGAAAUAGAACCUGAAACCGUGUGCUUACAAGUAGUCAGAGCCCGUUAAUGGGUGAUGGCGUGCCUUUUGUAGAAUGAACCGGCGAGUUACGAUUUGAUGCAAGGUUAAGCAGUAAAUGUGGAGCCGUAGCGAAAGCGAGUCUGAAUAGGGCGUUUAGUAUUUGGUCGUAGACCCGAAACCAGGUGAUCUACCCUUGGUCAGGUUGAAGUUCAGGUAACACUGAAUGGAGGACCGAACCGACUUACGUUGAAAAGUGAGCGGAUGAACUGAGGGUAGCGGAGAAAUUCCAAUCGAACCUGGAGAUAGCUGGUUCUCUCCGAAAUAGCUUUAGGGCUAGCCUCAAGUGAUGAUUAUUGGAGGUAGAGCACUGUUUGGACGAGGGGCCCCUCUCGGGUUACCGAAUUCAGACAAACUCCGAAUGCCAAUUAAUUUAACUUGGGAGUCAGAACAUGGGUGAUAAGGUCCGUGUUCGAAAGGGAAACAGCCCAGACCACCAGCUAAGGUCCCAAAAUAUAUGUUAAGUGGAAAAGGAUGUGGCGUUGCCCAGACAACUAGGAUGUUGGCUUAGAAGCAGCCAUCAUUUAAAGAGUGCGUAAUAGCUCACUAGUCGAGUGACACUGCGCCGAAAAUGUACCGGGGCUAAACAUAUUACCGAAGCUGUGGAUUGUCCUUUGGACAAUGGUAGGAGAGCGUUCUAAGGGCGUUGAAGCAUGAUCGUAAGGACAUGUGGAGCGCUUAGAAGUGAGAAUGCCGGUGUGAGUAGCGAAAGACGGGUGAGAAUCCCGUCCACCGAUUGACUAAGGUUUCCAGAGGAAGGCUCGUCCGCUCUGGGUUAGUCGGGUCCUAAGCUGAGGCCGACAGGCGUAGGCGAUGGAUAACAGGUUGAUAUUCCUGUACCACCUAUA